CCUACGGGCGGCAGCAGUGGGGAAUAUUGCACAAUGGGGGAAACCCUGAUGCAGCGACGCCGCGUGAGUGAAGACGUAUUUCGGUAUGUAAAGCCCUAUCAGCAGGGAAGAAAAUGACGGUACCUGAUUAAGAAGCCCCGGCUAACUACGUGCCAGCAGCCGCGGGAAUACGUAGGGGGCAAGCGUUAUCCGGAUUUACUGGGUGUAAAGGGAGCGUAGACGGCAGCGAAAGUCUGGAGUGAAAUGCCGGGGCUUAACCCCGGAACUGCUUUGGAAACUGUGCAGCUAGAGUGCAGGAGAGGUAAGUGGAAUUCCUAGUGUAGCGGUGAAAUGCGUAGAUAUUAGGAGGAACACCAGUGGCGAAGGCGGCUUACUGGACUGUAACUGACGUUGAGGCUCGAAAGCGUGGGGAGCAAACAGGAUUAGAUACCCCAGUAGUC
rnacentral:rRNA from 1 species